AUUGAACGCUGGCGGCAUGCCUUACACAUGCAAGUCGAACGGUAACAGGUCUUCGGAUGCUGACGAGUGGCGAACGGGUGAGUAAUACAUCGGAACGUGCCCGAUCGUGGGGGAUAACGAAGCGAAAGCUUUGCUAAUACCGCAUAAGAUCUAAGGAUGAAAGCAGGGGACCGCAAGGCCUUGCGCGAACGGAGCGGCCGAUGGCAGAUUAGGUAGUUGGUGGGAUAAAAGCUUACCAAGCGGACGAUCUGUAGCUGGUCUGAGAGGACGACCAGCCACACUGGGACUGAGACACGGCCCAGACUCCUACGGGAGGCAGCAGUGGGGAAUUUUGGACAAUGGGCGCAAGCCUGAUCCAGCCGUGCCGCGUGCAGGAUGAAGGCCUUCGGGUUGUAAACUGCUUUUGUACGGAACGAAAAGACUCUGGUUAAUACCUGGGGUUCAUGACGGUACCGUAAGAAUAAGCACCGGCUAACCACGUGCCAGCCGCCGCAGUAA
rnacentral:rRNA from 1 species